GCCCCCGUGGCAGAACAAUGCAGCAGGCUUAAGCCCUGCCUAUGAGCAAAUUUGCUCCGAGGGCU
rnacentral:tRNA from 1 species